rnacentral:lncRNA from 1 species
AAGAAAAAUACUAGAACAAAUGCACCUUCUAUCCCAAGACAUCAGUUCUCUACAUGAAGACGGAGUCUCGCUCUGUCCCCCAGGCUGGAGUGCAGUGGCGCGAUCUGGGCUCACUGCAAGCUCCGCCUCCCGGGUUCACGCCAUUCUCCUGCCUCAGCCCACCGAGCAGCUGGGACUACAGGCGCCCGCCACCACGCCCAGGGGAUUCUGCUUUUGCAUCUUCCUCGUUUUCUCUUGCCGCUGCCAAGUAAGAAGUGCCUUUCACCUCACACCAUGUUUCUGAGGCCUCCCCAGCCAUGUGGAACUGCAAGUCCAGUUAAACCUCUUUUUCUUCUCAGGGCUACCUUAAUGAGCAGCCAGGAUGCCAUCAUCUCCGACCUGAAUGACAAUAACCUCCAAACCAGCCUUUGUAUACUCCUUCCUGCUGCUCUGCAGUCCACUUCCACAGACCAGCCAACUGAAUCUCCUUAUAGAUUCAUAAUGGCCAUCAGCACAAAGAUGUUUUAUCUGCAGUCAACCAGUCAUGUUUCAUGAUGGCAUCAAAAUGUGCUGGAAAAGGUCAGAGAAAAUCAUCAUCAUAAAGUGAAGUGAUUUUCUUCUUUAUGAGCUCCUGAUGUAAACAGACUGAUGAGCACAACACAAUCCUUACUCACCCACAUGACAUCAUACACAAUCACAGCUAAAUGUUUCUAUCUGUCAAAGCCUGAAGAGUGACUACCAG